UAGUGUUGGGCCGGGGCAGGUGAAGGAAAUCAAGUGUGUUGGGAGCAUAAUAGGACAUGAUCACCUCAUAUCCACCCCUUGUGGAGGCACUGGUGGGACAAGCAAUAGGCCUGGAGUAGCGGAGCCUGAGUCCUACCGAAGUGCCCUUUGGUAUCAGACCAGAAGGCGACCAGCAGCGAGAGUAACACCAGAGCAACAAUGUCACGGCGGUGACAUCAUGGGCAGACACGCCUAUCAGGGAUAUGGGAGGUUCAGAACUCUAGGCUGCUCCCUCCAGGAGACCCCAUCCCUGAUUGGGGUGCUCUCUUGGGUUCCCGAUGCGCCAUGGGCUCUAGGCUUCUCUGCUGUGUGGCGCUUUGUCUCCUGGGAGCAGGCCCAGUGGCAUCUGGGGUCACCCAAACUCCAAGACACCUGAUCAAAACAAGAGGACAGAAAGUGACACUGAGAUGUUCCCCUGUCUCUGGACAUCUAUCUGUGUACUGGUACCAACAGGUUCAGGGCCAGGGCCCCCGGUUUCUCAUUCAGUAUUACAAUCAGAAAGAGAGAGACAAAGGAGACAUGCCAGAACGGUUCUCAGCUCAACAGUUCAGUAACUCCAGCUCCCAGCUGGACCUGGACUUGCUGGAGUUGGAAGACUCAGCCCUGUAUCUCUGUGCCAGCAGUGAACACAGCCCUACGCGAUCAGCAGCCUACUGUACAAAAAUCCUCCCCACAACCCCCAGGUCAGGAAGUGAUGGCAAGGGUGGCGGUGCCAGCCACAGAGUCCCGGGGCCCUGGGAGGGCAGACGGGCUUCUCCCCAACGCUCAUUCUUCUGCUUCUGUGUGUGGCACGUCUUAGAGCUCACAGAAAUCAUGCAAGAUACGUAUCAUGUUACCUGCUUACAUAUAUGA